rnacentral:tRNA from 2 species
GGAGGGGUGGCUGAGUGGUCGAAGGCGCGCGACUCGAAAUCGUGUGUGCGUGAUGAGCGUACCGGGGGUUCGAAUCCCUCCCCCUCCGCCA